UUUGUACACACCGCCCGUCGCUACUACCGAUUGAAUGGCUCAGUGAGGCUUCCGGACUGGCCCAGGGAGGUCGGCAACGACCACCCAGGGCCGGAAAGUUAUCCAAACUCGGUCAUUUAGAGGAAGUAAAAGUCGUAACAAGGUCUCCGUUGGUGAACCAGCGGAGGGAUCAUUA
rnacentral:rRNA from 1 species